UUUCCUGCAGCUCAGUGGUUAGAGCGUUCGACCGGUGUGCGGAAGGUCAUAGGUUCGACUCCUGUUGGGGUAA